GUUACUAAGGUUAACGUUUUGUUAAUAGGUGACUUGUGGUGUGGUUUUGUGUUAUAUGCUUGUGUUGUGCGUGCGAAGAUGCAGUUGGAUUUGAGGUGAGUAACAUCUCACUAAGGUCCACUUUCGGACCCAUCAUUUAUAAUUAUUAUGAUGUUGAUUUUGAAGAUGAUUAUGAUGAUGAUUGUGAUGUUGAUUUUGAUAUGAUGAUGAUGAUGAUAAUUGUAUGAUGAUGAUGAAAAUGUUGAUGGAAAUGUUGAUGAUAUGAUGAUCAUGAUGAUAAUUAUUAUGAUGACGAUGGUAAUAGGUUUGAUUGAUGAUUAUGAUGCUAUUUUUAAUAUUGUGAGUAAAUCUCACAUGGGUUCUUAAGAAACCAAAUUUAUUUUAUAAUUUUGUUAUGGUUAGAUGUGAAGUUGUCCUUAAAGGAAAAAUGAUUUUUGUUUUAAAAAUAAAUGAGCUUGAUCGUCAACGACUCAUGGGUAAGUGAAAAUAUGUUUUCUGGUAAAAUAAAAUCUUUCAAAAGGACUUCCGAUCAUGUGAUUUGUGAUGCUGAAAUAUGGUUGUUGAUAUUUUUAUUCUAGUGAGAAUAUCUAUGUCUUUGUUAUAUAAAUAUAUUUAGGUGGAAAGAUAUAAUUUAUGAAGUGCUCUUGUGCUGUUGUUGAUGAUAUUUUUAUAUUGUGAAUUGUUGUUUAAAUAGUCAAACCGGGUUCCAAGCCUUUAAUCGGGUGAUUGGUUACGGUUAUGAUAUUAUUAUUUUAUGAUUUGAUAAGUGUUAUGACGUGAGAGUAAUAGAAUGUGUGCCUUAGUGGUGAUGGUGUGCAUUAGAUUAGGAGCCUUUGUAGUGGACCGGAAACCAAGCCUUGGCCGGGUGAUUGGUUACGGUCAGUAUAAAGCUCUAGUCUGUCAAUCGGUACUUCAUGGGGGAUGACUAAGUGUUGACGAACCCAUGAGUACGC
rnacentral:lncRNA from 1 species